AUUGAACGCUGGCGGCAUGCUUUACACAUGCAAGUCGAACGGUAACAGGUUAAGCUGGCGAGUGGCGAACGGGUGAGUAAUGCAUCGGAACGUGCCCGAUCGUGGGGGAUAACGCAGCGAAAGCUGCGCUAAUACCGCAUACGAUCUGAGGAUGAAAGCGGGGGACCGUAAGGCCUCGCGCGAUCGGAGCGGCCGAUGUCAGAUUAGGUAGUUGGUGGGGUAAAGGCCCACCAAGCCGACGAUCUGUAGCUGGUCUGAGAGGACGACCAGCCACACUGGGACUGAGACACGGCCCAGACUCCUACGGGAGGCAGCAGUGGGGAAUUUUGGACAAUGGGCGAAAGCCUGAUCCAGCAAUGCCGCGUGCAGGAAGAAGGCCUUCGGGUUGUAAACUGCUUUUGUACGGAGCGAAAAGGUCCUUUCUAAUACAGGGGGCUCAUGACGGUACCGUAAGAAUAAGCACCGGCUAACCACGUGCCAGCCGCCGCCGUAA
rnacentral:rRNA from 1 species